GUUAAUGUAGCUUACAAUAAAGCAAAGCACUGAAAAUGCUUAGACGAGCAAUCCUGCUCCAUAAACA
rnacentral:tRNA from 1 species